AGGUAGAAAAGGAAAGUUAGAGAGAGGAAAAAAAGGAAAGUAGGAGACAAAAUGGCAAGAGAAAAAUGGGAAGAACAAUAAUUCUUGCUAACCAAACACAUCAUCAUCAUCAUUCAUCAGGAAACUAACAACGAGAGAUUGGUUUCCUCAAAUCCAUCAUCCCCUUUUCCUGUCUUCCCUCCCUUCAGUUGGGGUUGUUUUCAGAUUUGAAAUCACUCACCUAACUCUCUAAAAAUAAAGAAAUUCAAUCUUUUUUCACUCUCCAGCUUUAUUUCUUUCUUGUCACCACCAAAACCAACUUAAUGUGAUUCCUGGUGAGGAUUUUCAUCUGGAAUUUUUCUCAAACUCAUGCCCAGAUCUUAACAUUUUUUCAUCUUGAUACAUCACCUUUGAGUUGUUUGAGCCUCAGAUACAAGAAAAAAUCAAGGCACAACAGUGGACCAUAUAAAGCUUUUAUGUUGGUUUAGGGUGGUGAAGAUAAGAAUUUUGUGAGGUGCACGAUCUCCGUG